rnacentral:misc_RNA from 1 species
ACGUGUCAACACAGGCAAGUUUUUCGGGACUUGCUCUGCUGUUUGGAUGUUGAAGGCUUGCUGGCGGUGAACACUUUUCUGUCAGCUCCUUUUAAAUGCAUUAGCAGGAACCUUGCAGGACUGGCUUCAGUUUGAUAAGAUUGAACUGUUGCUAGAAUGCACUUUGGUGUUUCAGCUUCCAAUCGUCCAGCAAAACUGGACUGCCUCGCCUUGAGACAAUUACUAUUGACA